GGUAAAAGUGCCAUAUAUUACUAUUGCCGCAACAAAAAAUGCGGCGGCAGAGCAAAACUCACCAUAAAUUGUGACUUUAGUAUAACUAAAAGUCAUGCAGAGACCUGUAAACCAAUCCAAAAUGUUUUACCUUUAUCUUCUAAUAUUAUCUACUCAAUUCAAAUUUUAAAGGUGAUAUUCUAAUAGCAAGUACUUCCCAAGGGCAAUCACUGAACCUUCCUAAUCAAGGUUAAAU